UUUCUGUGUGGAAGGAGGAGGAUGUGUUGGUGUGAAUGUUUGCUGUUCCUCCUUGUGGGAGUCAGUUCUUGGGUCACCCGUGUGCAUCUUGUGUGCUCUGAAGCUCAGAGCCAAGAAUAGGCAAGUCUCUGAGCCAAAGUCAUCAGCCUGCUUCUAGAAACGUGUCAGCGGAUUAGCUUAUUGGCUUUCCCCCUGAGUGGCAUUAGCUCUCACCCCAUCUCAUGUUCACCAUCUGGCUUUGAGUAAGAAGUCUUCAAGUGAUCUCUCUUGAGUAGCCUGCUCUGUGCCAGGGCUUUCUGAGGGCUGUUCAGCUUUCUUCCUCAUCAACCCCAGGACCCGUUGCUCUCCAAGAAGUAGUCUGUUGUGUCCACACAUACGCACACCUGGCAUCAGAAGAAUACUUCAGGCCUCAGAGGGAACAAAAUCAGCUCAAAGGAGAAUGAGUUUGUGUGGUCAGUGGCCUAAAGUCUUUUGUUGUCAAAACAAGUGGAUUUGUCUUUAGCAACUCCUUUGCUGUUGUGUUGAGAAGAGUCCAGAGGGACAGGAAUAAAAGCAGAAGUAAUUCAUGCUUCACAAUGGCCAAAACAAUCCUGAAAAAGAAGAACAAAGUGGGAGGAGUCACACUUCCUGACUUAAACUUACUACAAAGCUGCAGUACUCAUAUCAAGUAUCAAGAGUGUGUAGAUAGAUGCAACAGAUCAACAGAAUAGACUUGACAGUCCAGAAAUAAACCCAUUUACUUGCGGGUAAGUGAUUUUCAGCAAAGAUGUGAGGACAAUUCAGUGAAGAAAUCGUAAUCUUUUCAACAAAUGACGUCAGGACAACUGGUUAUCUAACACACAAAAGAACGAAUUUGGACCCCUGGACUAAAAUUAAAUCAAAAUGAUCAAAAACCUAAUGUAAGAGACUAUAAAAGUGUCAGAAGAAAACAUAUGAGUUAACCUCUUCGAACUUGGAGUGGGUAGUUUCUUAGAUAUGACGCCUAAAGCACAAGCAAUAAAUUAAAAAAAAAAAAAAUCGGGUGUCAUCAAAAUUUAAAACUUUUGUACUUCAAAGAAUACCGUCAAGAAAAUGAAAAAAUUAACUGAUGGAAUGGAAGACGGUAUUUGAAAUCAUACCUGUUUAGGAAUCCAGGAUUCAAAAUAUGUAAAGGACAUUUACAACUCAAAAAUGAAAAGACAAAUAACCCAAUUGAAA